GCGGGAAUAAUUCAGUGGUAGAAUGCUAGCUUCCCAAGCUGGACGUCGCGGGUUCGAAUCCCGUUUCCCGCUCCA
rnacentral:tRNA from 1 species